rnacentral:rRNA from 1 species
GACAGAGGGUGCAAACGUUGUUCGGAAUUACUGGGCGUAAAGCGCGUGUAGGCGGCUAUGCAAGUCGGAUGUGAAAUCCCCGGGCUUAACCUGGGAACUGCGUUUGAAACUACGGAGCUAGAGUGCGGCAGAGGGGGGUGGAAUUCCACGUGUAGCAGUGAAAUGCGUAGAUAUGUGGAGGAACACCGAUGGCGAAGGCAGCCCCCUGGGCCGACACUGACGCUCAGGCACGAAAGCGUGGGGAGCAAACAGG